rnacentral:rRNA from 1 species
CAUAGGUUAAUGAGGCGAACCGGGGGAACUGAAACAUCUAAGUACCCCGAGGAAAAGAAAUCAACCGAGAUUCCCCCAGUAGCGGCGAGCGAACGGGGAGCAGCCCAGAGCCUGAAUCAGUGUGUGUGUUAGUGGAAGCGUCUGGAAAGGCGCGCGAUACAGGGUGACAGCCCCGUACACAAAAAUGCACAUGCUGUGAGCUCGAUGAGUAGGGCGGGACACGUGGUAUCCUGUCUGAAUAUGGGGGGACCAUCCUCCAAGGCUAAAUACUCCUGACUGACCGAUAGUGAACCAGUACCGUGAGGGAAAGGCGAAAAGAACCCCGGCGAGGGGAGUGAAAAAGAACCUGAAACCGUGUACGUACAAGCAGUGGGAGCACGCUUAGGCGUGUGACUGCGUACCUUUUGUAUAAUGGGUCAGCGACUUAUAUUCUGUAGCAAGGUUAACCGAAUAGGGGAGCCGAAGGGAAACCGAGUCUUAACUGGGCGUUAAGUUGCAGGGUAUAGACCCGAAACCCGGUGAUCUAGCCAUGGGCAGGUUGAAGGUUGGGUAACACUAACUGGAGGACCGAACCGACUAAUGUUGAAAAAUUAGCGGAUGACUUGUGGCUGGGGGUGAAAGGCCAAUCAAACCGGGAGAUAGCUGGUUCUCCCCGAAAGCUAUUUAGGUAGCGCCUCGUGAAUUCAUCUCCGGGGGUAGAGCACUGUUUCGGCAAGGGGGUCAUCCCGACUUACCAACCCGAUGCAAACUGCGAAUACCGGAGAAUGUUAUCACGGGAGA